UGGGGAAUUUUGGACAAUGGGCGAAAGCCUGAUCCAGCAAUGCCGCGUGUGUGAAGAAGGCCUUCGGGUUGUAAAGCACUUUUGUCCGGAAAGAAAUCCUUGGCUCUAAUACAGUCGGGGGAUGACGGUACCGGAAGAAUAAGCACCGGCUAACUACGUGCCAGCAGCCGCGGUAAUACGUAGGGUGCAAGCGUUAAUCGGAAUUACUGGGCGUAAAGCGUGCGCAGGCGGUUUGCUAAGACCGAUGUGAAAUCCCGGGGCUCAACCUGGGAACUGCAUUGGUGACUGGCAGGCUAGAGUAUGGCAGAGGGGGGUAGAAUUCCACGUGUAGCAGUGAAAUGCGUAGAGAUGUGGAGGAAUACCGAUGGCGAAGGCAGCCCCCUGGGCCAAUACUGACGCUCAUGCACGAAAGCGUGGGGAGCAAACAGGAUUAGAUACCCUGGUAGUCCACGCCCUAAACGAUGUCAACUAGUUGUUGGGGAUUCAUUUCCUUAGUAACGUAGCUAACGCGUGAAGUUGACCGCCUGGGGAGUACGGUCGCAAGAUUAAAACUCAAAGGAAUUGACGGGGU
rnacentral:rRNA from 1 species